rnacentral:misc_RNA from 1 species
GAUGAAGAACGCAGCGAAAUGCGAUAAGUAGUGUGAAUUGCAGAAUUCCGUGAAUCAUCGAAUCUUUGAACGCACAUUGCGCCCGCCAGUAUUCUGGCGGGCAUGCCUGUCCGAGCGUCAUUUCAACCCUCGAACCCCUCCGGGGGGUCGGCGUUGGGGAUCGGCCCUUUCACCGGGUGCCGGCCCCUAAAUACAGUGGCGGUCUCGCCGCAGCCUCUCAUGCGCAGUAGUUUGCACACUCGCACCGGGAGCGCGGCGCGUCCUCGUCCGUAAAACACCCCAAACUUCUGAAAUGUUGACCUCGGAUCAGGUAGGAAUACCCGCUGAACUUAAGCAUAUCAAUAAGCGGAGGA